UACGUAGGGUGCGAGCGUUGUCCGGAAUUAUUGGGCGUAAAGAGCUCGUAGGCGGUGCGUCACGUCGGCCGUGAAAACCUGCAGCUUAACUGUGGGCGUGCGGUCGAUACGGGCAUCACUGGAGUUCGGCAGGGGAGACUGGAAUUCCUGGUGUAGCGGUGAAAUGCGCAGAUAUCAGGAGGAACACCGGUGGCGAAGGCAGGUCUCUGGGCCAUUACUGACACUGAGAAGCGAAAGCAUGGGGAGCGAACAGG
rnacentral:rRNA from 1 species